rnacentral:snRNA from 1 species
AGCUUGACUCUAGUCCGA